UUAUUAAAACGUACGGAAAAA
ensembl:piRNA 21ur-11006 ncRNA